AAGAAGCAAGACCGUGAGGUGGAGCAAGACUCAAAAACUUGUCUCAGUUCGGAUUGUAAGCUGAAACUCGCCUACAUGAAGCUGGAGUUGCUAGUAAUCGCGAAUCAGCAUGUCGCGGUGAAUACGUUCCCGGGCCUUGUACACACCGCCCGUCACACCAUGAGAGUUGGCAAUACCCAACGUACGUGAUCUAACCCGCAAGGGAGGAAGCGUCCUAAGGUAGGGUCAGCGAUUGGGGUGAAGUCGUAACAAGGUAGC
rnacentral:rRNA from 1 species